rnacentral:rRNA from 2 species
AGGCGGCGUGCCUAAUACAUGCAAGUCGAGCGGACAGAUGGGAGCUUGCUCCCUGAAGUCAGCGGCGGACGGGUGAGUAACACGUGGGCAACCUGCCUGUAAGACUGGGAUAACUCCGGGAAACCGGGGCUAAUACCGGAUGAUUCUUUCCCUCACAUGAGGGAAAGCUGAAAGAUGGUUUCGGCUAUCACUUACAGAUGGGCCCGCGGCGCAUUAGCUAGUUGGUGAGGUAACGGCUCACCAAGGCGACGAUGCGUAGCCGACCUGAGAGGGUGAUCGGCCACACUGGGACUGAGACACGGCCCAGACUCCUACGGGAGGCAGCAGUAGGGAAUCUUCCGAAUGGACGAAAGUCUGACGGAGCAACGCCGCGUGAGUGAUGAAGGUUUCGGAUCGUAAAACUCUGUUGUUAGGGAAGAACAAGUACCGGAGUAACUGCCGGUACCUAGACGGUACCUAACCAGAAAGCCACGGCUAACUACGUGCCAGCAGCACGCGGUAAUACGUAGGUGGCAAGCGUUGUCCGGAAUAUGGGCGUAAAGCGCGCGCAGGGCGGUCUUAAGUUCUGAUGUUUGAAA